CCUAGUCGCGUCGGUCGGAUUCUUUGCUGUUUCAUUGUUGUCAUCGAGUGAGUUAUCGUGUACAUGGGAGCAAGAUUGGAAGUUCGAUUGGCGAGCUGGUCGAGCGCUUGCGACCAUUUCAGGACAGCUGUAUCAUCCGGAGGCGCCUCAGAAAAAUCAUCAGCGUACGGAUUAUGACAAGGAAGGCGCAUCCAAUUACCGAAUAGUGUUCCACCCGGCUUUUGCGUACUCAGGCGCAAUUUGUGAAAUUCGACGCUUUUCUUGGGGCGGAGAUCAUGGUUUCGGGAAUCCACCUGAUCCGGACACUAAAUGGCUACCGCCGUCACCGUCAACAAUCCGCUACUGCGUUAUUCCAGCUCCUUGUUCGUUUCGGUCUCUAGGACCACCACAAUCCUAGCCCUGACGGAAGUUACAGAAGUGGAUUGAUUUGUGGUACCGUGACAUCACUUAAUUCCAUCCACUUUUUUCGGUUCAUAAUUCCAUUCACGCCAUUAGUUUUGCAUGGUGUGAAUGGAAUUAGGAACCAAAAAAUGUAAUUGGAAUUGAGUGAUGUCUCGGUACACGAAAUGUAAGCCAAAUAGGAUAAAUAAUAACGUUUUCCUAAGAAUAAAAGAAAGAUUGGCACGAA